GGGGGCGGUGGGUUGGAGGGUGACCAAAGGCACGGUCACAGUGGAGGGUUUAGCCGGUCUCGGAGGGGCGGUGGGAUGGCGUUCCAGAGGCUGAAGACCCACAAACAGACAUGGAUUAAAGUGACAUAUUAUUUUUAACGCACAGUACAGUACAAACCAAUUAAAACACCCAAUCUGGCAACAUUGCCCUUCGCCGGCAAUCACAGCGCCUCACAAUGCACAGCCCCCGAGGCCCUCCUUUUGUGUGUGAUAAACCCGGCUUUGGGCAUUUGCUUUUUUUUAUUUAAAUCUGCAAAACUUUUUUGACUUUUCUUUGAAGAACUUUUUCUGACACGGUUUCAGAAGCACUAAAUCUAAAGUGGUUUCAGAAGCACUAAAUCUAAAGUGGCCAAUUUGCUUCUCCAUAUAAGAGGCAACACAGAAUUUUGGGCAAAAAUCAUAUUUUUAAUUUCUGGGAAUCCUAGGAGGGAGGAACAAACAAAAGACAUCUUGGUUUACUGCUGCCGAUUCAACAUGCUCUGACAGCAGGUGGAUUGUUUUUGUCUGAAAGGCUGCCUGGCCCUGAAAUACCCGCAAAGUCCAGGAGAGAAGCCAGCAAAAGGCUCUGCAAAAAGUUUCUCACCCAAUAAGGGGCACAACAUGAAACUCCUCCCAAGGGCGAUUUGAACAGAAUGAAGCCAGCGAAGAAAAUUCAACAAGCUAAUUUUCUCAGCACCAAGUAGGAAUGGCAGGAGGACAAGAACUUUGA